UUUAUUGCUUCUACAGGUUACUGCAAUGACAUUUCUCCACCACUUGGGGCAGUGCUGGCUCUUUCUUGUCUUGUCUCCAUGGCCCAAACUGAGAAAACCACUCCGCGGGGCUCCAGCAGGCCCUGACGAGAGCUCUGUUCCUCAGCUACAGCUCAGACGGAGAAUCCCUCACCACCGAGCAGCUCCGCAGCCUCCUCUCCAAUGAGUUCAGCCAGGUCCAGGCGCUGAAUGAACAGCUGCUGGAGGAGUUCAUUGUGGCUUAUGAUGGAAAUGGAGAUCACAAGCUCGAUAUGAUGGAGUUUGCAGAUCUGGUCAAAUUCAUCACCAAAGACGGCCACUAGACAACACUGGAAAUAUAUAUUAAUCCUGGGCUUAUGAUGGGCCUAACAAUAUCUGACACAUAGAAAAUGUAACAUAGAUCACAAAACCUGAAACAUACACACAUUCCUGAUGAAUAAAUCUGUCUACUGCUUGUAGUCAUUUAAACUCA